CCUACGGGAGGCAGCAGUGAGGAAUAUUGGUCAAUGGCCGGAAGGCUGACCCAGCCAUGCCGCGUGAAGGUCAGUGCCCUAUGGGCGUUAAACUUCUUUUGUGCGGGAGCAAUAAUGGUCACGUGUGGCCAGACGAGAGUACCGUACGAAUAAGCAUCGGCUAACUCCGUGCCAGCAGCCGCGGGACUACGGUGGAUGCAAGCGUUAUCCGGAUUUAUUGGGGUGAAAGGGUGCGUAGGCUGUGAGGUAAGUCAGCGGUGAAAUGCCCCCGCUCAACGGGGUGAAGUGCCAUUGAUACUGCCGUGCUGGAGUGCGGAUGCGGUGGGAGGAAUGUGUGGUGUAGCGGUGAAAUGCAUAGAUAUCA
rnacentral:rRNA from 1 species